rnacentral:rRNA from 1 species
GACGAACGCUGGCGGCGUGCUUAACACAUGCAAGUCGAACGAUGAAGGAGGAGCUUGCUCCUCUGGAUUAGUGGCGAACGGGUGAGUAACAACUGAGCAAUCUGCCCUUGAAUCUGGGAUAAGCGCUGGAAACGGCGUCUAAUACCGGAUACGACUCUCGGAGGCAUCUCCUGAGGGUAGAAAGAACUUCGGUCAAGGAUGAGCCCGCGGCCUAUCAGCUUGUUGGUGAGGUAAUGGCUCACCAAGGCGACGACGGGUAGCCGGCCUGAGAGGGUGACCGGCCACACUGGGACUGAGACACGGCCCAGACUCCUACGGGAGGCAGCAGUGGGGAAUAUUGCACAAUGGGCGCAAGCCUGAUGCAGCAACGCCGCGUGAGGGACGACGGCCUUCGGGUUGUAAACCUCUUUUAGCAGGGAAGAAGCGAGAGUGACGGUACCUGCAGAAAAAGCACCGGCUAACUACGUGCCAGCCGCCGCGGUAA